AAGCGUUUGGCAUCAGCCCAUGGCGUCAGUCCAUCAACCUGGCUUCUGCCUGGUGCACUGGUCUGGCGUCGGGCCAGCGUCGGCUUCGCCCGCCGGAGAAAGGCUCGGGGGAUGUGGCUCCCUUACGGGAGCGUUAUACCCCCAGGCGUCAUGCGGUGCGGUGAGGCCGAGGUCCGCGGUUCAUACCUAGGACGCUGGCGUAAUGGUUCCAAGCG
rnacentral:rRNA from 1 species